rnacentral:rRNA from 1 species
CCUACGGGAGGCAGCAGCAAGGAAUUUUGGGCAAUGAGCGAAAGCUUGACCCAGCGACACCGCGUGAGGGAGUAAGGCCUUCGGGUUGUAAACCUCUUUUCUUGGGGAAGAAUCUUGACGGUACCCAAGGAAUAAGCCUCGGCCAACUACGUGCCAGCAGCCGCGGUAAUACGUAGGAGGCAAACGUUAUUCGGAUUUACUGGGCGUAAAGGGAGCGUAGGCGGUUCCUUAAGUCGGAUGUGAAAUCUUCUGACUCAAUCGGAAGGCGCCAUUUGAUACUGAGGGACUUGAGAGCAGCAGAGGGAAAUGGAACCUCCAGUGUAGCGGUGAGAUGCGUAGAUAUUGGAGAGAACACCAGUGGCGAAGGCGAUUUCCCAGGCUGCUUCUGACGCUGAGGUUCGAAAGCGUGGGGAGCGAAGCGGAUUAGAUACCCGCGUAGUCCACGCCCUAAACAGUGGACACUAGAUAUAGGAGGUAUCGACCCUUUCUGUGUCGAAGCUAACGCUUUAAGUGUCCCGCCUGGGGAGUACGGCCGCAAGGCUGAAACUCAAAGGAAUUGACGG